UGAAAAGUAAGAUAUUCAAAUAUCCAACUUUCAUUGUUGGUUUGUGUAUUUCUCCACUCAAUUCUCUUAGUUUUUUUCCAUGUAUAUUGGAGUUCAGUUAUUAGGUGCACGAAGUGAGGCUUUGUAGAAUAUGAUGAUUUUCUUAGGGCACUGCAAAAAGUUCUUCCAGUAAAAAUACUACCUUAAGACUUGUCAACCUAAAAUAAUCAAAAGGGUCUGAAUCAAGUUUAAAGAAAAUGUAUUCAAGUGCAAAGUAUAAGGGUGGCCAACCCAGAAAAAUCAACUCCAAAGGAAUAUAGUAAGUGUUUUGAAGUAAGACAGUGAAGGAUUUAUUUAUAUAGUCAGGGACAGAGAACUGUUCAGCAGUUUUAGAAUUUUUAGAAAUUUUUAGGAAAAUGUCAUUUAGAAAAUGACAUUUUUUUCAUGCAAAAUUGGUGCAUAAUUACAAAAAUUUGAUUAUAAGCAGUUUUCCUUUUUGGGAAGGAUAUGUUUACUAUUUUUUGUAGGUGUUAUAAUAGUCAUGGCUUUUCUGUCAUCUGGUCUAAGCAGAGCAGGAAAACACAAGGGAAGUUAAUUUUUAACAAGGUUCAUUACUUAAGAAGGCAAGAGGUUUUUGUCCCUGACGUUUAAUUCUCUGCAGUCACUGUACAGAAAAAGAAAAACAAGAAAGUGAGUUCGUCUAUCAUCUGAGAAACGGAAAUCGCAACCAUAUGUGACUCAGAUCGCUGUUGUCUCUCUCUCAAGGCUUAAAGUAGUUUUAGUGUUCUAACAGCUUUUAAGUUUUAUUUACUUUCAAAAACUAGAAAAUCUACAACAUUUUACAGAUGCAUACUUCUCUAAUCCCACUUUAUACCCCUCAUCUUUAUGGACCGCAGUCCUUACCGGACCCUAAAUUCAGCUGGAUUGAGUGAUUUUUCAUCUGCUGAACACAUCAUCAUUCACUCUACUGCCAUUGAGUUCCCAGCUAUUUUCUUCUCUGGAAUUUCUUUUUCUCUACAUAGCUAUACUUUUUCGAAUCCACCCUGCAGUCGUCUGUGUGAAUCUUUUGUCUUUUGAUUUCCCAAAUCUCAAAAUAUCUGCUAUUUCCAGGGAUAAGUAGCUAUUUGAGAAAUAUUUGUGACCAAAAAAUGCACUUGUGAGAAAUGAGUAUUUGGAUAAAGAAGUCUUUUUUCUGGGUGUUUAUAGAGAUCUCAAUUCAUACAUUGUUUAGUUUAACUCAUCUAAAAUUUUCUCAAGAAAUGUAACUUCUGUUUGUUGACAUGUAAUAUUGAAACAGUGCUGUUAAUGAGAAGAGCACUGGCUAUAAAAUCAACAUUCACAGCUCAGAAUAAAAGUCCUGUCACUAUCCAUAUUUCAGAAAACUUACUAGUUUCUUAAUUGAAGAGGUUUCACUUUUCCAUCUAAAAUGGGGAUUAUGACUACAUAUCAAUGUUUUAUUGUUGGUAUUGUUAUUAUUGAUAUAUUUGUGGUUAUGUUUUGUUAUCUGUUUACUUUUUAGGAUUAAAUGACAUAUGUAAUACAAUAUCUAGCCCUAAGCAGGUGGUAGAUUCAGAAUAGUUAGAAACAUGAGUCUAAAUUUGUGUAAAGUUCACUUUGAAAAAUAAAAUUGCCCCAUAUAAGUAAAUAAUGGUCUUCCUUCUUAGGAAAAAAAAAAACCCUGGAGGACAAAUUUUUAUGUGUACUGUGAUACUCUGACUUCAGAAAACCUGAUAGUUGGAUCUAAUGGAUCUAAGUCUUGGAGGAAAGAAAAAAAUUUCCAUCAAUUGACAGGGAGACAUUGCUUGUUUCCUGAAAAUACAUCAGAAACAUAUUGGGAAGUUUUAAAUGCCUCAAGAAAGCAAAAGUAUUUUAAAAAUCCUAUUAGAUAGGAGUCUAGAGAAGCUGGGCAAUGCACAAGCAUUUAUCAUGACUCAGCUAUAUGUGAAGACUGCAUUACAAAUGAGAGAUAAAACAUGUUACACACAAGCCCACAUUUUAUUUCAUUAUCUUGGGCUGAUAAUGCCCUCUUCCCAUCAUAUGGUGAAAGGCUACACCACUUUUUUUUUUUAUCAAUUUCAACUGCUUCUUCCAUGAAACCUUUCAUAAUUAAAGAUGUGAAGCUUCAUCCAUGUAAAAGAAUGGCUACUGUAUUAGGUCUCCUUAAAUCAACAUUUGAAUUUUGUUUUAUAGUUAUUGUGUUAAUCUGUGGAAGAGGAAUCUGAAAAACAGGCUGCUUUCUGAAUUUCUGUCAGCAUUUGGGUAGUUUAUGUAAAUUAUUUUAGGCCUCAGUUUCUAACUUCAACAAAAAUGGAGAUGAUUAUUUUUUCACAAAUUUCUACCACCAGAAUAAUUUGGUAAAGAGAAGAACAAUAUACUCUGAAUGUCACUAAAAUCAUAUGCCCCAUCAGUGAGAAAUUCUCUGGAUGAAUAAGUGAUCUACUAUGCUGUGUUUACAUAAUUCCAUUUCAAGAACAAACUUAUUACAUUUUUGAGUUACCUGUUCAGAACACAUUUGGUAAAUUAUAUAGCAUAAAAGUUAAAUUAUGGUCACUGACAUCAGAUAUCUUGCUUUUAAUUCCUACUCUGUAGCUGUGUGAACUUUGGCAUGUCCUUUUCAUUCUGCACCUCAGUUUACUCAGCCAUAUGUUCAGUGUUUCAACAGCUCCUACCUCAUCAGUUUGGUGUUAAGAUUUGAUAUGGUUUGGCUGUUUCCUCAGCAAGAUCUCAUUUUGAAUCAUAGUUCCCAUAAUCCCCAUGUGUCUUCGGAGGGGCCCAGUGGGAGGUAAUUAAAUCAUGGGGGCUGUUACCCCCAUGCUGCUGUUGUUAUAAGUCUACUAAAAAACGGCCGGGCACGGUGGCUCACGCCUGUAAUCCCAGCACUUUGGGAGGCCAAGGUAGGCAAAUCACGAGGUCAGGAGAUCGAAACUAUCCUGGCUAACACGAUGAAACCCCGUCUCUACUAAAAAUAAAAAAAAUUAGCUGGGCGUGGUGGCGGGCACCUGUAAUCCCCGCUACUCGGGAGGCUGAGGCAGGAGCAUGGCAUGAACCCGGGAGGCAGAGCUUGCAGUGAGCCAAGAUUGCGCCACUGCACUCCAGCCUGGGUGACAGAGCGAGACUCCGUCUCAAAAAAAGUCUACUAAAAAAAAUGUAGAAACAACUUUGGAAAUGGGUAACAGGAAGAGAUUAGAACAGUUUGGAGGGCUCAGAAGAAGUCAGGAAAAUGUCUUCCUGAUGUUGUUGUGAUAGUGAGUGAGUGCUCAUGAGAUCUGAUGGUUUUAUAAGGGAUUUUUUCCUCUUGGUUCUGCACUUCUCCUUCCUGCUGCCACAUGAAGAAGGACAUGCUUGCUUCCCAUUCCACCAUGAUUGUAAGUUUCCUGAGGCCUCCCCAGCCAUGCUGAACUGUAAGUCAAUUAAUCUUCUUUCCUUUACACAUUAGCCAGUCUUAAGUAUGUCUUUAUUAGCAGUGUGAGAAUGCACUAAUACAAUAUUAAAUGAGAAAAAGAAGCAAAGAGAACAUAAUAGUGCCAGGCCAAAUGAAAAUAUUUAUUAUCAUUAUUGUCAUCAGUAUUUUAACCAUUGUUUUAAAAACUAUAUUAAAAAAUACAAAUUAUGCUUUUUUAUAUUUAUGAUCCCUGAAAAUCUGAGAACCCAAACUAGGUACCGUUAAACCAACUUGAUUCUAAAAUUUCAAGUAGCUCUCAGAUUCUGUGACUAUACGUGACUUAAAGUGAAAAAAAAUUACUUAUGUCUUCUUCACAUCCAUACAAUCCCUCAUAUUUUGAUUAGGCAUAGCUGUCUAUAUGACAACCAUGGUUCAGUAAGAAGAUAAUCCAAAAAUGAUAGUCCCAGGAUAAGCCAAAUAAAUACAUAAACUCUAGUGAUUUUAUUUGUUUCUUUUCAUCAUCUCAGAGCCUAGCUGUGUCCAGCAUGUAGUUGGCAUCUAUAAAUAUUGAUUGAUUGAAUGAAGUAGCAUGGGCCUUCGGAGAUCUAGGAAGAAUGACAUAAGUUGCUUAAGGUUUCUCCAAAUGAACUAGUAUUUACAUGACUCCGGCACUUGUUCUAUUGCCUACAACAGGAAGAUUGAGAUGGGCCACUAUGAGCCAUGGAAAAAGAGGACUGAGAAUAAACCACAGAGAUUGCAAUGGAAGCAGAGACAUCUUAAUACUUUCAACACCAGAGGAAGACCAGUGUGUCUUCAAUCUUUUAAAGAAGUUGGAAGAGGUGAGAAACUCCAUCUGAUAAGAAAACAGAAUCUUUAAGAAGUGGACUUGCUGAUGGUCACAGGGCUAGCGAAAGCUUAUUUCUUUCUUUAGAGCUGCAACUACCUGAUUCCUUCACUGAGACAUGACCGUUUCCUGCUUUCUAAGGUAUAUAUAUUCAAGUGGAGGAAAUAGAACACACAUGCGAGAGAAUCACUUUCUGAGAGAGCUGAAGACUAUUUGAUGGACCACCAUAAAUUUCAUCAAAGGAAACAGAGCAGAGAAUUGACCAAUAACAAACAGCUGGAAAUGAAAGAACUGUGGGCAAGGUAAUUUUGGCAGCUAAUGGAGACAGUUAUUGAGGAAGGCUGAAUGCACUCUGAGUCUGGAAUGUGGAAGUGUGGACAAUUCUGCAGAGCAGGCCUACAGUGGAGGAGCACAGGAAAAUCUUCAACACAGGAAAAAAUUGUGGACCACCUACUUAAGGAGGAAUUCCAAAGACUUGCUGUACAACAUAGUACCUAUAGUCAAUAAUAUAGUAUUGUGUGCUUUAAAAUAUGUUAAGAAAAUAGGUCUCAUGUAAAGUGUUCUUACCAAAAAACAAACAAACAAACAAACAAAAACCACAAGGAAAUUUGUGGAGGUGAGAGACAUUUAGUACCUUGAUUGUGGUGAUGGUGUCAUGAGCUCAUCCAUCUGUCGAAUUUCAUCAAACUGUGCGCAUUAAAUAUGUACAAUUUUGUGUAUCAAGUAUUUUUCAAUACAGCUAAAAAUAUGUACUUUAUUUAUAAAAAACAUACGUUUUUUUUAGUACAGAACAUUGAAUAGUUUUAACAAAGAAGGCAUCUAUGGCUGGACAAGAGGAAGUUCUCAACCCUCCCUAAGCCAUUGAUUAUCCACACACUGUGACCUCUUCUCUCCGGGGUUAUGUUCUCAUUUAUUUAAUAUGAGGGAAGGAAGGUCAUUCUCUCAAACUCGUGUAGAUUUUCACAACAGCUUAGUGAUUUAUGUUAUACAAAUAUAAUCUUUUAACCAUCAAUUAUGAUAUAUAUUUUUCUUAAUGGGCAAUCUGAACAUAAUGAUAGCAUUGUUUUGUAUUAAAGGUUAAAAUAAUAAAUGUAAAAUUCUUAGCAGAGUGCCUGAGGCAAAUAAAUACUUUUUACUAUUAAUACUAUUAUUAUUUAUUCUUAUCAUUAUUUUUAUUUCUAUUAAGCCAGCAAAUAUGGUGAAAUCUUCCAGAUGCCCUUGCUGAAGGACUCCAGAUGUCAAAGAGAAGUGGCCAUUUGUUAGACAGCUGUUCAGUUAACCUGUCUGUCUUGGUUAAAAACACCUGCACAUACUGUCCCCAGUUCAAUCUGAGCCCAUGGCAGUGACAAAGUCUGUGGGAUUUGGGUUGCCUCAUGGGUGGUGAACCAUAUUGUUGGAUAGAUCACUCUCUGAAAAGCCAGCUAUCCUUCAUGUUUGAAACGAUUAAACAUGAAAGCUCAUUACAACAAUAAUGGCUGUUUUGAUAUUUCCAACUAGCUCUAGUGAGGUGGCCACUGGAGAGUCCUCAAUGAGGUGUAAAGCAUUGGCUAUGCAGUGGGUGUGAAGCCCAACUGGCCCAUUUGUUUUCACAAAUCUUACCUUCUGGGGAUAAUGUUAAGUACACGGAUGACUUGGCACAUAGUGGCCUAAUUCAAAG
rnacentral:lncRNA from 10 species